GCCUGGGUGGCUCAGUGGUUGAGCAUCUGCCUUUGGCUCAGGGCAUGAUCCUGUGGGAUCGAGUCCCACAUCAGGCU
rnacentral:tRNA from 1 species